rnacentral:rRNA from 1 species
GGAAUAUUGCGCAAUGGGCGGAAGCCUGACGCAGCCAUGCCGCGUGUGUGAAGAAGGCCCUAGGGUUGUAAAGCACUUUCAAUAGGGAGAAAAGGCUCACGGCUAAUACCCGUGAGAGUUGAUGUUACCUAUAGAAGAAGCACCGGCUAACUCAGUGCCAGCAGCCGCGGUAAUACCGAGGGUGCGAGCGUUAAUCGGAAUUACUGGGCGUAAAGCGCGCGUAGGCGGUCUGUUAAGUCAGCUGUGAAAGCCCCGGGCUUAACCUGGGAAUUGCAGUUGAUACUGGCAGGCUAGAGUACAAGAGAGGGAGGUAGAAUUCCAUGUGUAGCGGUGAAAUGCGUAGAUAUAUGGAGGAAUACCAGUGGCGAAGGCGGCCUCCUGGCUCGAUACUGACGCUGAGGUGCGAAAGCGUGGGUAGCAAAC